GAGAGAAGAAAGACGGGCGGUUAAUAGCCGCGCGGGCUGACGUUAUCUCCCAAGAAAGCCUCGGCUAACUACGUGCCAGCAGCCGCGGUAAUACGUAGGAGGCAAGCGUUGUCCGGAAUUACUGGGCGUAAAGGGUGUGUAGGCGGGACGGUAAGUCGAGCGUGAAAUCCCACGGCUCAACCGUGGAACUGCUCUCGAUACUGCCGACCUUGAGUACGGGAUAGGAGAGUGGAACUCACGGUGUAGCGGUAAAAUGCGUAGAUAUCGUGAGGAACACCGGUGGCGAAGCGGCUCUCUGGCCCGAUACUGACGCUGAGACACGAAAGCCAGGGUAGCGAACGGGAUUAGAUACCCCGGUAGUCCUGGCCGUAAACGAUGGGCACUAGGUGUGGGAGGCAUCGACCCUUUCCGUGCCGAAGCUAACGCAUUAAGUGCCCCGCCUGGGGAGUACGAUCGCAAGGUUGAAACUCAAAGGAAUUGACGGGGGCCCGCACAAACGGUGGAGCAUGUGGUUCAAUUCGAUGCAACGCGAAGAACCUUACCUGGGCUUGACAUUCCGGGAAAACCCCACGAAAGUGGGACUGGGAGCUUGCUCCCGUCCGGGACAGGUGCUGCAUGGCUGUCGUCAGCUCGUGUCGUGAGAUGUUGGGUUAAGUCCCGCAACGAGCGCAACCCUCGUCGUUAGUUGCCAGCGGUUCGGCCGGGAACUCUAGCGAGACUGCCGGCGUUAAGCCGGAGGAAGGUGGGGAUGACGUCAAGUCCUCAUGGCCUUUAUGCCCAGGGCUACACACGUGCUACAAUGGCCGGUACAGAGGGUCGCAAUACCGCGAGGUGGAGCCAAUCCCUAAAGCCGGCCCCAGUUCGGAUCGGAGUCUGCAACUCGACUCCGUGAAGUCGGAAUCGUUAGUAAUCGCGGAUCAGCAGGCCGCGGUGAAUACGUUCCCGGGCCUUGUACACACCGCCCGUCACACCAUCCGAGUCGGGUGCACCCGAAGUCGCUGCUCUAACCCUUAGGGGAAGAAGGCGCCGAAGGUGUGUCUGGUAAGGAGGGUG
rnacentral:rRNA from 1 species